rnacentral:rRNA from 1 species
UGGGGAAUAUUGCACAAUGGGCGCAAGCCUGAUGCAGCCAUGCCGCGUGUAUGAAGAAGGCCUUCGGGUUGUAAAGUACUUUCAGCGAGGAGGAAGGCGUUGUGGUUAAUAACCGCAACGAUUGACGUUACUCGCAGAAGAAGCACCGGCUAACUCCGUGCCAGCAGCCGCGGUAAUACGGAGGGUGCAAGCGUUAAUCGGAAUUACUGGGCGUAAAGCGCACGCAGGCGGUCUGUCAAGUCGGAUGUGAAAUCCCCGGGCUCAACCUGGGAACUGCAUCCGAAACUGGCAGGCUAGAGUCUUGUAGAAGGGGGUAGAAUUCCAGGUGUAGCGGUGAAAUGCGUAGAGAUCUGGAGGAAUACCGGUGGCGAAGGCGGCCCCCUGGACAAAGACUGACGCUCAGGUGCGAAAGCGUGGGGAGCAAACA